rnacentral:rRNA from 1 species
GUAGGGAAUAUUGGACAAUGGGCGAAAGCCUGAUCCAGCCAUGCCGCGUGAUAGAUGAAGGCCCUCUGGGUUGUAAAUAUCUUUUAUCUGGGAAGAAACUCCUCUAUUCUUAGAGGCCUGACGGUACCAGAGGAAUAAGCACCGGCUAACUCCGUGCCAGCAGCCGCGGUAAUACGGAGGGUGCAAGCGUUAUCCGGAUUCACUGGGUUUAAAGGGUGCGUAGGCGGGUUGAUAAGUCAGUGGUGAAAGCUCCGGGCUUAACUUGGAAACUGCCAUUGUUACUGUCAGUCUUGAAUGUCGUAGAGGUAAGCGGAAUGUUGCAUGUAGCGGUGAAAUGCUUAGAUAUGUUACAGAACACCAAUUGCGAAGGCAGCUUACUAUGCGAUAAUUGACGCUGAGGCACGAAAGCGUGGGGAGCAAACAGGAUUAGAUACCCCAGUAGUCC